UUUUUGUUUGGAGAGUUUGAUUCUGGCUCAGGACGAACGCUGGCGGCGUGCUUAACACAUGCAAGUCGAACGGAAAGGCCCCUUUGGGGGUGCUCGAGUGGCGAACGGGUGAGUAACACGUGGGUGAUCUGCCCUGCACUUUGGGAUAAGCCUGGGAAACUGGGUCUAAUACCGAAUACACCUUGCUGGUCGCAUGGCCUGGUGGGGGAAAGCUUUUGCGGUGUGGGAU
rnacentral:rRNA from 1 species